AACGAACGCUGGCGGCAGGCCUAACACAUGCAAGUCGAGCGAAGCCUUCGGGCUUAGCGGCGGACGGGUGAGUAACGCGUGGGAACGUGCCCUUUGGUACGGAAUAGCCCCGGGAAACUGGGAGUAAUACCGUAUGUGGUCGAGAGACGAAAGAUUUAUCGCCAAAGGAUCGGCCCGCGUUGGAUUAGGUAGUUGGUGGGGUAAUGGCCUACCAAGCCGACGAUCCAUAGCUGGUUUGAGAGGAUGAUCAGCCACACUGGGACUGAGACACGGCCCAGACUCCUACGGGAGGCAGCAGUGGGGAAUUUUCCACAAUGGGCGAAAGCCUGAUGGAGCAAUACCGCGUGGGUGAAGACGGUUCGUGGAUUGUAAAGCCCUUUUCUUAAGAAAGAAUAAAUGACGGUACUUAAGGAAUAAGCAUCGGCUAACUCUGUGCCAGCCGCCGCCGUAAAAC
rnacentral:rRNA from 1 species